rnacentral:rRNA from 1 species
UACGUAGGGUGCGAGCGUUGUCCGGAAUUAUUGGGCGUAAAGAGCUCGUAGGCGGUGUGUCACGUCGGCCGUGAAAACCUGCAGCUUAACUGUGGGCGUGCGGUCGAUACGGGCAUCACUGGAGUUCGGCAGGGGAGACUGGAAUUCCUGGUGUAGCGGUGAAAUGCGUAGAGAUCGUAAGGAAGACCAGUGGCGAAGGCGAGUUCCUGGACAGUUACUGACGCUGAGGCACGAAGGCCAGGGGAGCAAACGGGG